CAGUCGCCACGGGAAUACAGAGGGUGCGAGCGUUAAUCGGAUUUACUGGGCGUAAAGCGUGCGUAGGCGGCUUUUUAAGUCGGAUGUGAAAUCCCUGAGCUUAACUUAGGAAUUGCAUUCGAUACUGGGAAGCUAGAGUAUGGGAGAGGAUGGUAGAAUUCCAGGUGUAGCGGUGAAAUGCGUAGAGAUCUGGAGGAAUACCGAUGGCGAAGGCAGCCAUCUGGCCUAAUACUGACGCUGAGGUACGAAAGCAUGGGGAGCAAACAGGAUUAGUACCCCCGUAGUCCCUGUCUCUUAUACA
rnacentral:rRNA from 1 species